CAUUUUUUUGUGUAGUUUUGUCGCCUUUGUGCAAGAUUCAGACAAGAAGUGCAGCGGAAGCUUACACCUGCACGUGGUGGGACAGAGGCAAGAACGGAUGGUCUGGCUGAGGCUGAGAGAACCAAGCUGGAUUAGGAUCGGCUUGAGGGCCCGGCGUCGUCAGUGGUGACCUCUCUGACCUGAGGCAAGUGAGUCAGGCUGGACUGAGCGUGUUAACGUCGGUGUUUGUCAAUGUGACGCGCUAGAAUAAUCCCUUUAUCUUUCCCAACUUUUGUUUGUUGAGUGUAGGCAACUAUAAUGAAUGGAAAGGAAACCGGAUUGUACUUUAAAUCCGAGAACAUUCUCUACUCUCCAAAAC
rnacentral:lncRNA from 1 species